UCCGACUUAGGCUUUUCGGUGGUUGUUUAGGUGUUUUUGCCAGGCUUGUUUUGCCGUUAGCUUGCUGUAGGUCGUUUUGUUUGCUUGUCCGCGGCUUCCUUUCACUCUUAAUGAGCGUGUUCAUUUUGAGUGUAAGCUUUUGGAGCCGUGUUGUUUGUACAGUUUGACCCCUAUUAAUAUAUUGCUUACUCUUACCAAAAAAAAAAAAAACCUUACGUAUAGUUUUGAUGAUACAUCAAAACCAUGCCAAAGUGGCGAGUCAAUUGUCUUUUGGUGCUUGCCAUGCACAAAUUAGGAAACGGGCCAUGCUUGCAUAGGGAGUUCACUCAUUCCAGUCAUGCUUAUGGAUUAUGGCAUCUUCUUUCUCAUAUCAAUUUUCUGUUCAUUAUUACGGCCUUUAAAUCCUUUUUUUUUUCGGGGGUGAGUCUAGGUAGAUCGAGAUGUUACUCUAAGUGAGGCUCUUCUUAGCUAUGACAAAUGGCUUGGAAAGAAGGGCAUAAAGAACACAAAUUUCACUGUUGUUACCUGGUCCAACUGGGAUUGCUGGGUGAUGUUGGAAUCCGAGUGUUGAUAUAAGAAAAUUCGAAAGCCUUCUUACUUCAACAGAUGGAUUAACCUAAAAGUCUCAUUUCAGGAAGUUUUCGGAGGUCUAAGAUGUAAUCUUAAGGAGGUGGUUGAGAUGGCUAGCUUGACCUGGCUCGGGCGUGCUCAUUGUGGUUUAGAUGAUGCAAAAAACACAACUCGCUUGCUUAUGGUUCUUUUGUGCAGGGGAAUCAGAUUUUCCAUCACCAACUCUCUGACAUUGUAUGACAAUGACCAUACUCUGAUAUCAAAGCACUCUCCUCCCCAUCAGCCGCACACACAGAAGGAUUUGCGGGGUCCUCAAUCACUAUAUAAUCCUUGUUGUUUCUGUGGCAUCAAGAGCAACGUAGGCUUUGUUCGGAACCCAAGUACAAAGCAAGGGAACUUCUUCUUUUGGUGUGGCAAUUGGGCUGCUGCGAGAGGUUGUGGAUGCUGUUAUUUUCAGUGGGUGGCUUCUUGACUGGAUGUAACUUUCCUGGUUGACAUCUUCGGCUUUCUUAGGUGCUCCCUAUCACAUUAGGUAGGAACCGCAUCGGGAGCUUCCAUUUAAAUUAGUUGAAUGACUUUAUGAUAGUUUUUUUUAACUUGAUUGAAAGAAAAACAAAUUGAGUUGGCACACUGCUGUUGAAAGAUUGCGAUACUGAUACGUAAGAAAACUGUCAUCUAUUGUUGAAGAACUCUUUCUAUAAAGCUGACAUCUUGUUGACUUGUGAAAUUCAUUAAGGAGUUGGUACAGCU